AUGUAAUAAACUAUCAUCUUGCCUUUAUUUUUAGUUAGCACAUACCUUAAACACUUAAAGCUAUAAGCUAAUGAUCGUUAUGUAAGAGCAGAUACUGCUGGUGCAAUAAGCUGUACAUUUUACGUCCAAUGGAUGCAUGAUCUGGCAGCCCUAGUCAGCAUAAUCUUAUUGAUGAAAUUCAAUGACACAAAUCUGGGUGAGUAAAAGUUCACCGGGCAAUAUUGUAUAACCCUUUCAGACCUCAGCCAGGCUGUCUGGACAUUUCUUUUCUAUAAUAGCUUUAAAAAGGGUAAAAAUGUUGAACAAUCAAAACGAUUCUUUGACGUGAAUCAAUUUGAUUCUCAUGGGACUCAAUUAAGAUUCAACUUUUCAAAUGUUUUUAACAUAACACUAAUUGUAAACAUUUGUCUUGCAGGUGACUGAGCAAUGGAGAAGCUGGAUGAUGUAACAGUAUCUGUCCUUAAAGCUGCAAGCAUUGACGAGCGCAUGCUUUUAACAUUGACCCGUGAUGAUCUGAGGGACCUUUUUUCUGGGCCUGAGCACUUUCUCAGAAGAAAACAUGUGUGGUCAAUAAUUCAUCCUGAGGAAGACCAUCCGCUACCACAGAAACCUGAAACAACUUCUUCACCCAGGGUAGUUGCAACAGGCCCUCCAACUGCUGAUGCUAAUGUAAGCCAGCUGAAAACCUUGCAGCUCCCCAGUCCUCCGGAAUAUGUUCUGUACACCGACAGUGAGUUGGAGCAAUGCCGAAAGAGUUACCUGGAGUUGGCCUGCUCCGGCAGGGAACAGGCAUGCGUCAUGUCAAAAGUACUGAGAUGCAGAUUGGUGAGAAAUACAAUCACAAGUAUGGUGUCCCUUUUGAGAGCAAGCCAAGGCCAAAUGGAGCAAUACCCCUCUAAGACCGAAAUCACUGCAAUGGCUAAAAAAGUUGUGGAAUAUUAUCCUAUGCUGCAGGAUAAUGAUGCAAGCGUAAAACACGAGAGCAUUAAUGCCAAGUUACAAAAAAGGCUGCAAAAUAUGAAAACCCCAGUAAAAAGGCAAGGACCAACACCGGAGAGGGGACGGCCCAAGAGAAGGCUCACUGACCUCUACCCAAGGGAUGAAGAAGCUGAUGAUGAAGAUGCUGAUCGCAGUUCUUCCAGUGGUGCAUCUACUCUGUUAUCACCUGUCAGAAAUUCUGACAAUGCCUCCACUUCAUCUGACAAGGAUAGUCGGCAAAUACAAGCAAGACAUUACAAAACAUUACAAGAAAUGUGUAAGAAGGCAAAACCAAACCAAGAAGAUGUGUCCCAGCUAUUAGACCUCGAGUUUGAAGCCAGAAGAUCCUUCAUUGACUCAGACACCAUGAAAGAGGAGAACAGAGCUUGCCUCAUCUUGGAUGCAUAUCCAUGCUUUAAAGAAUUGCAUCAUGCGUUGGGUGAGCUUCGCAGAAUUUUGGAUCCCCACAACAACAAGUUCAUCAGUCAAGUAAAACUGAGAUGGGAAGAAUUCUGCUCCAGGGUAGAGUUCUACGGUGUGUCAAAGAAGGCAAUGAAUCCACCAAUGACCAUGGACAAAACUGAAGCCCACCUUGCACUGAUGAAGGCUCUUCCAACCCUCUUUCCCACACCUGCCCAUCCACCAAAAAAGAUGGGGAAUGCUUCUGAAGCAUUUCUACAUGUCCUGAAGCCUACAGAAGAUCCAGAUGCUGUCCUCCAGAAACGAAGCUUGUCAUGUCCAGUAGUGAUGUUCGAUGGCUGCAAGUGUGUCAUUGCUGUUGGUAAUUUACCAGUUACAACAUUUGACAAAGAAAAAAUUGGUGAGGCUAUGAUAUGUGUGAUGGCAUACUUUUAUGCACUCCAUCUGACUUACCCCAAAUGCGUGGCAACCCUGCUGUCUGUCAUUCAGACAGAAGUUCUCCAGGAUGCCAUUCAUGAGCAUGACACUACAUCAUCUUACAGAAAAGCCCUGGCAGAAUGGCAUGCAUUUAUUGGAAAGUAGUGUGUAAAUUUCAGAUAAGAUUAGGAGAGGGCACUUCUGUUUUGUUUUUGUUUGUUUUUUCAAUCUGGGUCUUAUUUCUAAAAUGGAAAAUGUUCAUUUACUCACCCAGACAAGUUUUGUGGUAUUUGGUGUCAUUCGGAAGAAAUUUGAAUCUUUGUGGUCUUCCUAUGUCACUCGUCAAUUUUAAUGGGGCAAUGGCGAAACCUCUAAGGCUGUUGAAAUGUUGAAACCACUUAAACAAACUCAUAAUGUUGGACCUGUACUGUUCAAUUGGAUCUUUAUUAUCUGCAGGUUAUUGUUAAAGUGGACAAAUAAAGAUGGACACUUUUACUCUGUUUCAGUUUUGUUUUGUCCUUAAUCAGCAAUAUAAUCUUAAAGUAGUGUUUAGCUAAAUUUAAAAAGAAGAAAUUUCUUAAAAAUGAUUUAAUGUACUAGUUU
ensembl:lncRNA